rnacentral:lncRNA from 1 species
AUUGACUCGAGAGAGGGUGGGUGCUCCCAGAACCUGGGGAACCUGAGCUCACACAGCUAGACCAGAGCAUCACCCUUUUCUUUCUAAAUGUGUGGCUGCUUCUGGUGGCUGGUGCUUCUCCAAGGAGCCAGUAGGGGUCUUUGCUUGAGUCUCCAGCCCCUGCAGGGGAGGAGCUUAAACAGCUCACCUGGAGGCGGGUCAAGGGCGGGUGACCACAAGGCCAGCCAGGCCACACUCAGAUGCCUCAGGGAGGUCCACAGAGGUCAUCAUCUGUCUCUUCAAGACAUGAGCUCCAACAAAAUAAAAAUAAAAAGGAGUUCCUGUCAUGGCUCAGCAGUAACAAACCCAACUAGUAUCCAUGAAGAUGCAGGUUCCAUCCCUGGCCUCGUUCAGUGGGUUAAGGAUCUGGAGUUGCCAUGCAGUGUAGGUCACAGAUGUGGCUCGGAUCUGGUGUUGUGGUGGCUGUGGUGUAGGCUGGCAGCUGCAGCUCCGAUUGGACCCCUAGCCUGGGAACUUCCAUUUGCCACAAGUGCAGCCCUAAAAAGCAAAAAAAAAAGACAUGAGCUCCACCACACAGCGCCUGCAUCUGUCUCAUGUUGCAGCCCCAGCAGCUAGGACGGUGCCAGCAUAUUGCGAGUGCUCGUUACAUGUGUGUGGAGUGAAUGGCUUCCUUUGGCAGCCUGCCCCUCUUGUGCAGAGGCCCGCAUCGUGGAGCCUGAGGCCAGCGAUGAGCCUCGGCCCUGGAAAGCUGGGAUGUUGUGCUUCGGCUCACAGGCGUGUAGGAUGGAAGGGUCGGUUGUACGGAUCUCAAAGCACAUUUCCCUGGUGGGUAGUGGGAUUAACACAACCCAUGACGGAGCGGAACCAGUCCGAAGGGCAGCCCUAAGCCCUAAGCACUUCAGCCCCUCACCCCUCAAACCCAGUCCAAUCCCCCUCGGCCUGGCAUGGGGGCCGAGGGGGAUUGGAUGGAGGUGUCUAGUGAGAGUGGGGGUGGCACGUGCGGUGAGAGGUGUGACCUCUGGAUCAGGGUGGGGCACUGCCGUCCCCGUGUGUCAGGAUGAAGCUCUGGGAGCAGAGGCCUGAGCCCCAAGGGUGCUCCCUAGACACGCAGUGUGAGCCGGGGACUGCGUGUCGCCAGAAUUCCUUUAUUCCCAGCAGAGUUAGUUGUAUGGGAGGGCGGUGGGCAGAGAGGGGCGUUAAGGAUGUGGGUGGAGGACCUGGGAAAAGGCCGCCUUUGUGCGGGGAUGGAGGGCGCGUGGGCAUAGGCCUGUCUGCCCUUUCAGCCCCUGGAUCUUGGGGCACAGGUGCUGCGUGUGAUGCAGAGCCCGGGGACUUCUGCUGCCCAGUGUGACCUUGGUCAGUGGCAUCAGAUGGGUUUCCUCCUGUGUCCCCUUCUGCUGGUUGGCCAUGGUGCCUGCAAGGCUGGGUUGAGAGGACUGGGGCGGAGUAUGGGCUGCCUGGGAGGGAGCCUGGGUGGACUUGAGAUGUCUGCUGGGGGAUCAGGACACAGUGACAUUUAGUGUGUAACAGUGUCCAGUCGCAUUUAGUCCAGCCAGCUCAUUUUACACACAAGGAAAGCCAGACACAGAAAGAGGUAGGAACUUGCCCAAGGUCCUGUGAUUUGCAGCAGUGGGAUUCAAAAUGGGGUCCCCUAGCCCCUGUUCUUUCUUGUCUUAUGCCUCUCACUAGACUGAUUCUCCAGGAGCCUCUUCUCAAAGCAGGGGAGCAGGUGCCCGUUUCCGCUGCUCCCCACCUGGCCGGCCUGGUUCAGCGGUGCCCCCACCAUCCCCAACUGCUAGCCAGCCCCGUCUGUCCUGGGCAGGCCAGGAAAUGAGCCUCAGAAUCGGCCCUGCCCUCUGGGAGUUGUGACCCCAAGAGGCGUGUGGAGGAGAGACAGGCAGAGACAUCACACAGACCCACAGCGGGCAGUAAACACACACUCAUCUAGGCUGUGCCACAGAGGUGUGUGUUAAGACCCAGGGUCCAGGCUGAAAUGGGCAGAGCAGGACAGGCUGAUGACUCUCCUUUAAGCAAUCCCAGGAAGCUUCCUGGAGGAGGGGGCUUCUCUGCAGCGUGGUGGUGUGGGAGUGCUGGUGCGAUGUGUGGGAAGUCGUCUGGUGCGGUGGAAGGGUGACAGGAGAGGCCCUUGGCCAGCCUGGGCUGAGAUUUCCCACCUCUUCAUUUACUCUGCAGCCUUUGAUAAGUCUGUUACGAUGUCUGAAAGCCUCUGUUUGUUCAGGGAUAAAAUGGGGAGGAGAAAACACCUAAUCUUCGAGGGCUUGGAGAAGAGCAAAUCGGAUGACAUCGGAAGGGCUUCUUAGAAGGGGCUUUCAGUAUGUACUGUGUGACUUUAUAUACAGUUCAGGAACAGGCAGAGUAAACCUGUGGUGACAGGAGUCAGCGUGGCAGUUAUGCUUGCAGGGGGCACGGGGGAUGGGGGCUCUAGGGUACUGCUGAUGUUGUUUCUGGAUCCAAGAGCUGAUUCUGUGGGAGAUUCACUGAGCUCUACACUUUCGUGAUUUCUUUGUACAUACAUUAUACUUCAUUUGAAAAAAAAUUUUUUUGAUGUUUUUUUGUUUAAGGUGCUUAUGAUGCUAGGCAUGGCUGGGUUAUAAUAGCCAGAGUCCAGUCACUUGACAGAAUGUCUAAGAGGAGACCUGGAAUGACCUUUGGAGAAAUCGUGUCUAGUUUGUGUGGAAUAUUUUAGGCAGUGUGCUAAUCACUUCACAUGCAUUUUCUCAUGUAGUCCUCGCAACAGCCCCUGUUUUUUUUUGGGGGGGGGGUCUUUGUUGUUUCUUUUGUUUCAUUUUGUUUUGUUUUUCUGUUUGUUGUUUGUUUUGGCUACACCCACGGCAUGCAGAAGUUCUCAGACCAGGGAUCCAGCUGGGAUCGAACCUUCGCCACAGCAGUGACACCAUCAAAUCCUUAACCUGCUGAGCCACCAGGGAACGCCCAACAGCCCCUGUUUUAUAAGUAGGGAAACUGAGGCUCAGAGAAGAUGUGUAAUUGCCCAAAGUCACACAGCCAGCCUGGGGCAGGGGUGGGCCCAGGCCAAGUCCGACUCCAGAGCCUGGGUGGAGCAUGAAGCGCCGACCUAACCUCUUGUCCUAACCCCUUCCUUGGCUACUAAGUGAGGGGUGGCUCCUGGGUCUGUGUUGUCUUUUAAUUUGACGAUGCUGGGGGUCCCGUUGGCCUGCAGCUUGUGGUGAGAAGAGCACAGUUCCUGAGCUAGUCCCAGUCGGGGGGUGCCUCCAGAAUGGGGGUAAGUGGGAAGCAGGAACCGGAAGGAACGCAUUGGUCAGAGAGAAGCAAGAUUGUGCAGGCUGGGUGGGGUGGGGGCAGGGACGUCUCCAAGGGUCCUGGUGGGGAGGGGCUGUGUGGACGCUCCAGGCGAGUGAUGCCUUGCUCAAUUAAAACCCUCCUGGGCAGAUCCCUACCAGGUAAGAGGAGAAUGGAGUAUUUUUCCUCCCAGCAGCCAGCCAAGGGGAGGGGGGAGCUGUUCUGCAUUAAGCGAAUUCCCUCACCUCUCCCAGAGUCUGUGCAAGGAAUUUGCAUCUUCACAGAGACUUUACUGCUCAGACUGGGCUGGGGGCUGGGAGGAAGGUGGGAAGUCGGGUCUUUUUGUUGCUUUUAUUCAUUGGCUAAGCAAGUCGGCCCAACUCCGAUGAAGCAGCCCUGCGGUGUGGCCUUGUCUAGUGGGAGAGAGAUGCCAUUGUGUUUGUGUUUAUAUGCAACUGGCAAAGCAGAUAAAGCCUUAUUGUUGUCCAAGGUUUCCAAUCAGAUGGGGAAAAAGAGGGCCUGGUGGCAUCAUUUGAGGUGCUGAAGGGCACACAGCUUCUGUACCAGCCGAGCUGCUCAGCUCCUCUGGGAGGCCUGCCCUGAUUAACCCCUUCAGCUCCUGAUGGUUACAUCUCAGCCCUCAGCAAGGACCUACACACUGUGAAGAGAGUAAGCACACUAGCGAGUUCUGGUUGUUUGUGAUUGUUUUUGUCUUAUGUCUGUCUCCAGUAUGUUGGUCCUAUCACUCCUAUUUGACUGGAGGCUGACUGAGGGCAGGGACUAUGAGGACCCUUUCUCUGGGCCUCCCUUAGCAAUUCCAUCCAUGUAGCAGGUGUCAGCCUGCGCUCAGGCACUAGUUCCGCAGUAUAGCGUUAACUCUGCCUCAGGACCUUUGCAUGUGAUGUUCACCUGUUUGGAACCCCUUCCGCCACCUCCUCUUUUCCUUUUGCUUCUCCAUUCAUCUUCCAGGAAGCCCUUUCCUGCGGCCUCCUGAAGCCUGAAAGGGGCCCCCUCUUGCUGCUCCCACCCCUCCUGCACGCCUUCCCUUCAGAGGAUUCUCCAAAUGGUGCUGUACCUGCCUGUUCACGGUAACUGCCACCCCGACUAGGCGCUGAAUUCUGGGCAGCUCGGGAUUGGAUUGGGCUGUGACAUCCACUCCUGUGCCAUGGCCUCUAACACAGAGGGUCUUGCUGAAUGUUUGUUGAAAGAGGCAAGGCCCUUGAGCACCAGAUUGGGGGGCCGAGGUCCAGAGCUUCUCCACGGGAGCCCAGCUGCUCCGUCCACCUGCCCUGGAAGGAAUGCCCUUGGCCUUGACUCCCUCCAGUUGAGCCUGAGUCCCAAACAGCUGUAGAGGCAGGACUCUAGAGCCCAGCGUGGGCGCCAGUGGCCACACCUGUUUUGCUCAGUGCUGAGUUCCUGACAUCUGUACACAGAUGCUGCAUCAGAAUGUCCCAUGAAUAUGCCUGGAAAUUCAAAUGUGUCUGCCCCCAGUGGGGAGUGGGGCUGGCCAGAAAAGGUGCUUCCUCUCCUUCAUCCUUCCAUGGAACCAGGUAGAGGUGUUUUCAGGUGUCCUAGAGCAAUCUCCCCUCCUCACCACCUGCACAUUUGCUUUUGGGCACUUCCACAUCCACUUUCUCAUUUAAUCCUCCUAGCAAUCCUGGGAGGCAGGUGUUAUUGGCCCAUUUUACAGGUAAGGAAAGAAGUUCAGCGUGGUUAUGCUGAUAUGGCCCAGGUGACAAGGCUGGUGAGCAGCAGAGCCGGGAGCCAGCUCUUCUCUUUCUAGCACAGCCCCAUCGCGGCUGCCCUUCCUUCCAGGCAGCUCAGCGCCCUGUCUAGGAAUCAGAGAUCCCCAGCGAGUGCGUCCUCCUAGCACCACCCCCUUGUCCUUGAUUGGAGCCCGAGAGUCCAUGACCUUGGAAGGCCCGUGUCCUGACCACAAAGUGCGCUUGGGGAGGAAAUCUGGCUUUGACAAAUAGCCCUGUGGUCCCAGAACAUGCAGGGCUAAUUCAAGUGCAAACAGUGUAUUAGUAUUUAUUACUCAUGCUCCACUGCUAAUAAAAUUUGAGUUUUAAAAAUAAUGGUGAGCAAAUGAAUUGGUCGAUGGCCUGUGGGGAGAGAAUGCAGGGAAGGAUAUUUCAUGGAGUUCCAGGGGGACGAAGCCCAUGCAGUUUCCCUACUGGCGUGGGGGGAUGGGAGGGCUUAUUUUAGGGGGCAGCUCUCCACUCCUGGUCCUGUUCAAGAGCUCUUUAAUCUGCAUGUUAAAAUUGGUUGAAAGCACCUUUGCCAAGGGUGGCAUCACCUCCAGGCCGAGGAAGUGGCUGUCGGCCAGGGAAAUGCCUCUCAAAUAUCUAUUUCAGUUAUCUGUGCUUAAAAUCCGUAAUUUGGAAAUUCUCACAAAGACCCAUGCCUGCCAUCCUGUGGGUACCUCUGUUUCUGACACCGGAGUUGUAGAGCAGGCCAGGUUCUGCCAAGCAGGGCAGAGACCUCAGAAGUUUCUAAGAAAAACCGGGGAAUAUGUCAUAGGCUCCAUGAUGCCUCAGAAUUAGGAAGAGAGAGAGGGAGCCCUGGGGAGUGAAGGGAACUCAGAGCUACCCUCCCUCCUCUCUGAUAGAUAGCACCUCUGUCCCUGUAAGUCAUCAGUCCUUCUCUGUCUCAGGAGCAUCAUGAGCUGGAAGAAACCUUAGACGUGCUACCGUGUGACUUUGCGCUAGUCAUUUAGCUUCUGCAGGACUUAGUUUUCUCAUCUGUAGAAUGGGGGUGAUAAAACCCACUGGGACCACUUUAUAGGAUCAAGAGGGGAAAAUGGGGCUGUGUAAAGCAGAAGGAAUAUGACAGCCCUUCAGAUAUUUUGAGACCAUGCUUUUGCUUUCCUCAGGAAAUUGCUUUGCAGACAGAGUUCCUGUUCUAGCUCAGCAAGUUAAGGACCCGACAUUGCCUCUGUGAGAAUGCGAGUUCGAUCCCUGGCCUCACUCAGUGGGUUAAGGAUCUGGCAAUGCUGCAAGCUGCAGUAUAGGUCACAGAUGCGGCUCCC